rnacentral:ncRNA from 1 species
CGCCUGUCGGGACCCGAAAGAUGGUGAACUAUGCCUGAGCGGGGCGAAGCCAGAGGAAACUCUGGUGGAGGCUCGAAGCGAUCGUGACGUGCAAAUCGUUCGUCUGACUUGGGUAUAGGGGCGAAAGACUAAUCGAACCAUCUAGUAGCUGGUUCCCUCCGAAGUUUCCCUCAGGAUAGCUGGAGCCCAUUACGAGUUCUAUCAGG